rnacentral:rRNA from 1 species
AUUGAACGCUGGCGGCAGGCUUAACACAUGCCAGUCGAACGAGUGGCGGACGGGUGAGUAAUGCUUGGGCAUCUAGCUUAUGGAGGGGGAUAACUACGAGAAACUGUAGCUAAUACCGCGUACCAUAGGAUGAGCCCAAGUGGGAUUAGGUAGUUGGUGAAGUAAAGGCUAACCAAGCCGACGAUCUCUAGCUGGUCUGAGAGGAUGACCAGACACACUGGGACUGUGACCAGGCGCAGACUCCGACGGGAGGCAGCAGUGGUGAAGAUUGCGCAAGGGGGGCAACCCGGACGAAGCCAUGCCGCGUGUAUGAAGAAGGCCUUCGGGUUGUAAAGGACUUUCAGCGGGGAGGCGUUACCCGCAGAAGAAGCACAGGCUAACUCCGUGCCAGCCGCCGCGGUAAUAC